UACGUAGGUGGCAAGCGUUAUCCGGAUUUAUUGGGCGUAAAGGGAACGCAGGCGGUCUUUUAAGUCUGAUGUGAAAGCCUUCGGCUUAACCGGAGUAGUGCAUUGGAAACUGGGAGACUUGAGUGCAGGAGAGGAGAGUGGAACUCCAUGUGUAGCGGUGAAAUGCGUAGAUAUAUGGAAGAACACCAGUGGCGAAAGCGGCUCUCUGGUCUGUAACUGACGCUGAGGUUCGAAAGCGUGGGUAGCAAACAGG
rnacentral:rRNA from 1 species